rnacentral:snRNA from 1 species
AUACUCUGGUUUCUCUUCAGAUCGUAUAAAUCUUUCGCCUUUUACUAAAGAUUUCCGUGGAGAGGAACAAUUCUGAGUUUUUUUUUUUUUUUUUUGCGGUACGCGGGCUU